GACGAACGCUGGCGGCGUGCUUAACACAUGCAAGUCGAACGAUGAAAGCGGAGCUUGCUCCGCUGGAUUAGUGGCGAACGGGUGAGUAACACGUGGGCAACCUGCCCCAGACUCUGGGAUAACUCCUCGAAAGAGGUGCUAAUACCGGAUACGAACUCCUUGGGCAUCCUUGGAGUUGGAAAGUUUUUCGGUCUGGGAUGGGCCCGCGGCCUAUCAGCUUGUUGGUGGGGUAGUGGCCCACCAAGGCGACGACGGGUAGCCGGCCUGAGAGGGCGACCGGCCACACUGGGACUGAGACACGGCCCAGACUCCUACGGGAGGCAGCAGUGGGGAAUAUUGCACAAUGGGCGCAAGCCUGAUGCAGCGACGCCGCGUGAGGGAUGACGGCCUUCGGGUUGUAAACCUCUUUCAGUAGGGACGAAGCGCAAGUGACGGUACCUACAGAAGAAGGACCGGCCAACUACGUGCCAGCCGCCGCGGUAA
rnacentral:rRNA from 1 species